rnacentral:rRNA from 1 species
UACGAAGGGUGCAAGCGUUACUCGGAAUUACUGGGCGUAAAGCGUGCGUAGGUGGCUUGUUAAGUCUGUUGUGAAAGCCCCGGGCUCAACCUGGGAAUGGCAAUGGAUACUGGCAGGCUAGAGUGCGGUAGAGGGUAGUGGAAUUCCCGGUGUAGCGGUGAAAUGCGUAGAGAUCGGGAGGAACACCAGUGGCGAAGGCGGCUACCUGGACCAGCACUGACACUGAGGCACGAAAGCGUGGGGAGCAAACAGG